AAACGCACGCGGGAAGAGCUGCUACCCGUUCCAGGGACCCUGCCGCUGCCCCUCUGAGGGGUCUGCACCUCCUGGGAGCAGGUGGGUCUCUGGGACGAGGGUCCAUGGUGGAUGGCUCUGGAGACGCUCCCGAGGCUGUGCCGUCCCCCUGCUGCACAGGUCGGAGGGUCACCGCAGAGGCUACUCGGGCCGGGGCUGGGGCCGAGGGAGCCCACACUGGAGGGUCUCGCUCUGUUGCCCAGUGGCAUGAUCAUGGCUCACUGCAGCCUCCAACUACUGGCCUCAAGUGAUCCUCUUGCCUUGGCCUCCUGAAGUCCUGGAAUUAUAGGCGUGAGCCACUGCACUGGGCCCAUUUAAUACUCUGAGCCCCACCUUUCCCAUCUGUGGAUGGAGAUAAUGAUAAUAGCAUCUUUGUGGUGUGACUGUGAAGACAGAUGAGCAUGCAAAGCUCCAAGUGCCUGCUGAAUUCCCCAUGUGGAAUCCAAGAACGCAGCUGCUCUGCUGAGAACACAGCAGCCCAU
rnacentral:sRNA from 1 species